rnacentral:rRNA from 1 species
AUUGAACGCUGGCGGCAUGCCUUACACAUGCAAGUCGAACGGCAGCACGGGAGCAAUCCUGGUGGCGAGUGGCGAACGGGUGAGUAAAGUAUCGGAACGUGCCCAGUCGUGGGGGAUAACGUAGCGAAAGUUACCCUAAUACCCCAUACGAUCUAAGGAUGAAAGCGGGGGGUCGCAAGACCGCGCGCGAUCGGUGCGGCCGAUGUCAGAUUAGGUGGUUGGUGGGGGAAAGGCCCACCAAGCCGCACAUCUGUAGCGGGUAUGGGAGGGCGACCAGCGACACUGGGACUUAGACACGGCCCAGACUCCUACGGGAGGCAGCAGUGGGGAAUUUUGGACAAUGGGCGAAAGCCUGAUCCAGCCAUGCCGCGUGCAGGAUGAAGGCCUUCGGGUUGUAAACUGCUUUUGUACGGAACGAAAAGGACUGCACUAAUACGGUGGUCCCAUGUCGGUACCGUAAGAAUAAGCACCGGCUAACUACGUGCCAGCCGCCGCAGUAA